ACGGGUGAGUAAUGUCUGGGGAUCUGCCCGAUAGAGGGGGAUAACCACUGGAAACGGUGGCUAAUACCGCAUAACGUCGCAAGACCAAAGAGGGGGACCUUCGGGCCUCUCACUAUCGGAUGAACCCAGAUGGGAUUAGCUAGUAGGCGGGGUAACGGCCCACCUAGGCGACGAUCCCUAGCUGGUCUGAGAGGAUGACCAGCCACACUGGAACUGAGACACGGUCCAGACUCCUACGGGAGGCAGCAGUGGGGAAUAUUGCACAAUGGGCGCAAGCCUGAUGCAGCCAUGCCGCGUGUAUGAAGAAGGCCUUCGGGUUGUAAAGUACUUUCAGCGGGGAGGAAGGCGAUGUGGUUAAUAACCUUGUCGAUUGACGUUACCCGCAGAAGAAGCACCGGCUAACUCCGUGCCAGCAGCCGCGGUAAUACGGAGGGUGCAAGCGUUAAUCGGAAUUACUGGGCGUAAAGCGCACGCAGGCGGUCUGUUAAGUCAGAUGUGAAAUCCCCGGGCUUAACCUGGGAACUGCAUUUGAAACUGGCAGGCUUGAGUCUCGUAGAGGGGGGUAGAAUUCCAGGUGUAGC
rnacentral:rRNA from 2 species